rnacentral:lncRNA from 1 species
AGCUUGAGUACCAGAACCCAGAGCCAGAACCCUUCACAGGGCCUGGUUCACGGCAGUCAAUAGUCACUCCAUACAUUUUUGGCGACAGACUGAGUAUCUGGCUGUCUAACUAAGAUCAUCAAGGGCCUGGCGUAGGAGAGGCAAAUGAAUCGAAUGAAGAAAUAGCCCUGUAUCCAGCUACAGUGUUCCUUAGUGAUUGAUGGAGAGCGAAGUCUUUCUAAUGAGGUAGUCUUGGAUCCUGGAUUCACCAUUUGCAUCUUCAUAACCUGGGCGGAAGUGAUUCAACUUCUCUAAGGCGACUCCAUGUCGUCCACAGCAACUGCUAAGCCCAAAUCCAUACGACACCCCAGUGGUCAGCCAGAACCAGGACGACCGCCUGCAGGACCUUGUCACCGACCUCAGUUCUCUGGUCUCUUUAAACGAGAAAUCCCCAUUUAGGACCCUCAGAGCCGCAUCGAUGCUAAAAGCAUGUUUCCAGGACAUCUCCACGCUGUGUCAGUAGGAAAAUUCUCCAGAUUCACAACAUGUAACCAUACUCGCAACUUACUCUUAAACAUGAUUCUCAUCUAUAAAUGCUAAGCUGAAACUUACUGGACCUUCAGUUUCUCCAAGUUCACUUCCUCUGGUCUCAGAUUCUUAGAUCUUAUUCCUUUUGUUUAGUGUCCUGAGCAAGAACUUCCUGAUGAAUCUGCCUUAUAAGGGGCAUGGAUUCUUCACGGUUUGGCUGUUUUCUGCUUCUUAAAUCUUCAGCUUCAAAAGAUCAUCUUUCUCAUCAGUUUAGGCUGGCAGAGUUCGGGUCGGGCAGGUUUCUCCAGCUUUACAAGUUCAGGUCAAUGGUUUUAACCAUGCAUUUAUUUAUCAUACUUAUUAUUACAUAGAAAGACUCUGAAAGACUCUCUCAGAAUUUGUAUCUUGACUUCAGGGGAGGCGUUCCAGCACCAUGGUUGAAGAACGUGGACCUGGAAUCGCAGAGAGCUCGUUUCGAACUUUGGCCCGAGUAUUGAUCAGCUGAGGAAAUUUAGGCAAAAUAUUUAACCUCUCUGAAUCUUAGCUGAUACCUUUGUAAAUACAUCAUGGAAGUGAAGAUGAGGUAGGCAUGGAAAGUGCUAAACACAGUGGCUGGCACUUAAUAACUACUCAUAAAACAGUCUGCUAUCAUUCUUGUUAUUUUAUUUUUCACCUCAGAUUAUUGUUAACUGAAUUAUGCAAAUACAACAUUAUUUCCCCAAAUUUAUUCACUGGAUAGAAAAUAUUCCACGUCCGUCAAUCACACAAGUUGUCACCUGGGCCCAGCCACAGAGCUGCUCAUGUCCUUGACCAUACGCGGGGCCUCAGGAAAACAGCCCCUUCCACCUUGCCUGGAAUCCUCUCUCUGUCCAGUCCAAGCAGCUCAGGAGGAUGCUUUCCUGUGCCUUCUGUUGUCGUCUUCAUCACUUCAGUACACCAAAAAAGUAAACAAGCAC